rnacentral:sRNA from 1 species
UACUAGAGUCUAGUGUUCAUGCUUGCACUCUUGGAAGCUCUCUCAAACAAGACCUCUCUUCGGCCCCCCAACAUGUUUGAAUUCGAAGCCAGGCAUGAGCGGGCAAGACAUAGAGGACCCCUCGCCUCCUUUGAUUAGCUUAAAACUGUAUGACUGGCUUCAAUAACUAUCCACUACCUUAAGCAAAUCCAUGAUAGAAAAUGCGAUAUUCUUCACGUAGAGAGCAUUUCACCCGUUCAUACAGUGCCUGAACCGGCCAGCAAGGGUCACCCGCCCAAUUUCCUCUCAACUCCUCCAUUAUCUUCACCCCAGCGCUGGCCCCGAUCCUUUCCGCCCCGGCCCUGAUCAUAUCCACACAAUCUCCAGAUGUCCUCACUCCACCGCUGGCCUUAACCUUAACCCCCUUCCCAAGAGUUUCACAAACUGCCCUCAUCAGCGCAACAUUCCCCAGGCUAGCCCCCGGCCCAUUAUAACCUGUGCUGGUCUUGACGAAGUCCGCUCCAGCUAGACAGGAAAUCACGCAUCCCGCAACAAUCUGCUCGCGGCUCAACUGUGAGGUUUCAAGAAUGACUUUCAAACCAACUCUAUGGUCGCCGAUAUCGUCCGGAUUUGAAGCAACCUUCCGCAUCGCAAGUACAUCCUCGUAUACAUCUGUAUAUUUCCCCUCCUUCAACAGCGGGUAAUUGAUAACCAUAUCUAUCUCCGAUGCACCACAGUUGAUUGCACCUUGGGUCUCCGAGGCCUUUUCGGCGGUGCUAUACGUUCCCUCAUGGAAGCCAAUGACACAUGCCACGCCGAUGCCAAUUCCCUUCAACCGCGCAGCGGCGCACGAAACAUAGUUUGCGCGCACGCAGACGGUUGCGAAGUUGUACUUGAUGGCUUCAGUGCACAAGGUGUCGAUUUGAGCUUCUGUUGCAGUAGGGGCUAGUUGAGUGUGGUCUAUUGUCUUUGGGAUCGAGUUCAGGGGGUCUUCAGGGGGUGGGUAGUUUGUUGUGUUUAUUUGAGGGAGGCUAGCAACGGUUUUCGAGAUUAGGGCACUCCAUUCCAAGUUGGUUAAAGGUACAGGAGUGGCCAUUUUAUGCUGUGUAUGGGGGGCAAUUGCGCUUGAAUUAUGUUGUUGCUUUUGGACACACACUUUUUAGCAUGUCAGAUCCUGUGAGAUUGAGUAGUUUGUUCCCCAAGACCUGUAGUCUCAUAUUAUUUAGCUUGACUUUCAUUGAAUGUGAAUUUGGUCUCGGGGUUUUCCAAAGAUAUGGUAGAGAGAUGGAAAUACAACAUAUUAAGAAAUCAUAAUACCAGUUCUCCACGGUUGUAAAUAAAGAGGC